GUUGUGAGGGUGGGGGAUACGGGCAAACAAGAGCUCCAGUUCCGGACUUGACCGUACCCCAUCCCACAGGGCCAUGGAAAACCUCCCAAACCUCUACCCUGCCCCAAACUCUAACCCUUGUGAGGUCCCUCCAGUAACUGGGGCCCACCCACAGGGGCAGACCGAAGAAAAGCCUUGCCUGAGGGGCGGGAAGGAAUGAGGGAGCUGGUUGCCAAGGGAACAGAGAGUAAGAGCCUGAAAGGUUGUCAGCCCCGGAAGUGGCCAGCGAGCAGUACAGGCAUUCAAAUACGCACAGGUGUAAGAGGGAACGAGGCAGCCAUCAUGGAUUUGCAUAGGCUCGUGGGAAGCUAAAGUCAGGCUCUGGCUGGACUGCGAGUGUAGAGAAGUCUACUUGUGUCCUCUGCACUGGCAGGCAGGAACUUGCCUUGCGCUGGGGGGUGGGGUCUGGCUUGCCUCUUGCUUGGGUCAUCAAUUGAGCUCCGGAGGAGCGUGACUGUUGGUUUAGGAGAUGGAGGGCAGCUCUGCUGUCAGAAGCAGCCAUGGAUUUUAAUGCUUCAAAGACAGAGGGAAGCUGCUGGUGACUGGAUUCUGGCGGCCGAGAAGAAGAGCUGGGAACUCAGAGUAUGUCUAGGAAGUCACUGUCCACAAUGCUACCUGAGUCCUUUUUGCCAUGUUAGGUUAUGACAUUCAUCAAUGGUGUAGGCAUUCUGCCUAAAGAACAAACCACUGUACUGCAUGGGCCAGCAGGCCCACCAUGACAAGAUGAACACUGAGGCUCAAGGCUUUGCACGUCUGACGGAGAUGUAGUUAGACCCAAGGGAAAACCUCUAAGUCCUGAGGAACAAGUGUAGAAUGACAGUGUAACCUACUGCAUGAAAACUACAGACAAAGCUUGCAAAGGGACAACCAGAAGCCCCUAGCAUCUUCAUCUCUCUGGUGUUCUUGUUAAUACUUCUGUUUAAAUCGUUUUUGUGGUUUAUUUUGCUGGCCAUGGACCUCGUCCAUUGAAGGGAGCAGCUGCAAACAUCAGGUGCACAUUUACAAGCUAGCAAAGUCAUUCUGUAUGUAUAGAGAACCCAGAAAGAGCCUCACUCACUUCAAAAGACGAAACAGUAAGCUGGGAGGGGAAACGGCUCAACCGGUACUGUUCGCCCAGCGUGCAUGAAGCCCUGGAUCCAAUUGGAUCAUGGAAUAAACCAGGUGGGUGGCACAUGCCCAUAAUCCCAAAACUCAGGAAGUGACAAUAAGAUCAAGAGUUCAAAAUCAUCCUUAAGUACUUAGAGAGCUCAAAGCCAGCCUUGGAUACAGGAGACCUUGCCUCAAGAAGAAAAAGACUGAUUUGAUCUCAACCCUAGUGCCAACCAGGGUGAGGGAUGUGGGGGACAUGUUUGAUCUAAUCUGUUGAGCUGAAGUAAAGAGGUGUUAAGAAGGGCAAGCUAUAAAAGAAAAAUCUGUCUCCAUUGGUUAACUGAGAGCUGAUGUAGAUUCUGUCAUGGAGCUUGGAACACAGAAUCAGGGGUUCUCAGCCUGGGUACAUGAGCUAGAUACUUUUCUACUGGAGAGGGUGCCCUUAGCACUUUGGCCUAUUUAGCAGUAUCCCCAUGCUCUGCUGACUGGCCAGCCACUUGUUCCACUGCUAUCAACUGAAAGGCUCUGCCAGAAAAGAAUCCCUGAUUCCAAUGAGGGGUGUUGAAGUCCUGCAGCCCAGCAAUGCCUCUGUCACUGGCUUUGGAGAGGAUUCAACUUCCAAAAUGGAAAUAUAAUUACAGCAGGGUCAGCAGGGGUCUUGGAAUUCAGUGUGGCUCAGAUCUGAAUGACAUGUGGCAUCCUUCCAAGUAUUUCAAGGAUUCCCAGUGCUGAUGUGAUUAUUUUCCUAAGAUCUUCAGUUAAAUAUGACACUCAUAAGACUGGCACAUUUCCCACAGGCUUGCGACUUUUCUAUAGCUAUAAACUCAAACUAAACCCAACCACGCAAACCAAAUAUAAUAUCACUCCAAAUCACGUAACAAUGCAGCGAGGUUUCAUGAUGUUGCCUUUUACUCUGUGUUUGGGUACCAACCUGAAGAUUUGAGCUGGGCUUGCCCCUGUCUGUAUUGUCCCAGGACUCAAAUAUCAUGUGAUACUAGA